GUUCUCCUUUCUGAAACUUCUUUUAUUUGGAUGUACCCCUAGUGGACUAGUCAUAUAAUUUCUCAUCUUAUAUUUUUUACCCUUGUCUGUUGGUGUUCUGCUCUACUUUCUGGAAAAUUUUCUCAUCUAUAUCUUCUAAUGGGAUAUUUUAUUUCACCUAUUAUACUUUUAAUAUCCAACAGCACCUAAUUUUUUCUGCAUGUUCUCUUUUCAUAGCAUCUGGUUUCAUAGCUUUGAUGUAUUACCAUUUUAAAAGUGUGUCAUUUUAUAGAUCUUCCAUCUUCUUGCCUGGACUGUGGUCUUUUGUGUUUGUUUUGGACAAAUGUUUACAAUAAAUGCUGUUGUGAUCUGUCUAUGACUACUCAGAACCUUGGCGUGUGUCUAAGUAAAGAUUGCUUUUGAAAGCCCGACGGAAGCCAAGCUAUGAGACCCAGCUGUUGAUGGUGACUUCCUGUAGAAGAGCGUCCUGGGCUUUGUCUUGGUGGAACCACUAUCAGCGUCUUGAGACCUUCUGUUUUCCUGAUCCAUCCCUAAGUUGAUCUACAAUUUAAUUUAAAUUCUAGAAUAUUUGAUAUUCCUGAUCCUUCAUACAAAUUUUAUAUACAAUUUAGAAUUGCUUUGCCAAUUUCUAGAGAAGGAAACCCUAGAUGAAUUUUCCUUAUAAAUUUUCAAUUCUUAACACAACAUCC
rnacentral:lncRNA from 1 species